UACGGAGGAUCCAAGCGUUAUCCGGAAUCAUUGGGUUUAAAGGGUCCGUAGGCGGUUUGUAAGUCAGUGGUGAAGCCCAUCGCUCAACGGUGGAACGGCCAUUGAUACUGCAAGACUUGAAUUACUAGGAAGUAACUAGAAUAUGGUAGUGAUAGCGGUGAAAUGCUUAGAUAUUACAUGGAAUGACCAAUUGCGAAGGC
rnacentral:rRNA from 1 species